CCUACGGGAGGCAGCAGUGGGGAAUAUUGGACAAUGGGCGCAAGCCUGAUCCAGCCAUGCCGCGUGUGUGAAGAAGGCCUUCGGGUUGUAAAGCACUUUUAUCCGGAAAGAAAAGCUUUGGGUUAAUACCCUGAAGUCAUGACGGUACCGGAAGAAUAAGCACCGGCUAACUUCGUACCAGCAGCCGCGGUAAUACGAAGGGUGCAAGCGUUACUCGGAAUUACUGGGCGUAAAGCGUGCGUAGGUGGUUUGUUAAGUCUGAUGUGAAAGCCCUAGGCUCAACCUGGGAAUUGCAUUGGAUACUGGCAGGCUAGAGUGCGGUAGAGGAUAGUGGAAUUCCCGGUGUAGCAGUGAAAUGCGUAGAGAUCGGGAGGAACAUCUGUGGCGAAGGCGACUAUCUGGGCCAGCACUGACACUGAGGCACGAAAGCGUGGGGAGCAAACAGGAUUAGAUACCCUGGUAGUCCACGCCCUAAACGAUGCGAACUGGAUGUUGGGUGCAACUAGGCACUCAGUAUCCGAAGCUAACGCGUUAAGUUCGCCGCCUGGGGAGUACGGUCGCAAGACUGAAACUCGAAAGGAUUGACGG
rnacentral:rRNA from 1 species